rnacentral:rRNA from 1 species
GGAAUUUUGGACAAUGGGCGAAAGCCUGAUCCAGCAAUGCUGCGUGAGUGAUGAAGGCCUUAGGGUUGUAAAGCUCUUUUACCAGGGAUGAUAAUGACAGUACCUGGAGAAUAAGCUCCGGCUAACUCCGUGCCAGCAGCCGCGGUAAUACGGAGGGAGCUAGCGUUGUUCGGAAUUACUGGGCGUAAAGCGUACGUAGGCGGUUAUUCAAGUCAGAGGUGAAAGCCUGGAGCUCAACUCCAGAACUGCCUUUGAAACUAGAUAGCUAGAAUCUUGGAGAGGUGAGUGGAAUUCCGAGUGUAGAGGUGAAAUUCGUAGAUAUUCGGGAGAACACCAGUGGCGAAGGCGACUCACUGGACAAGUAUUGACGCUGAGGUACGAAAGCGUGGGGAGCAAACAGGAUUAGAUACCCUGGUAGUCCACGCCGUAAACGAUGAUAACUAGCUGUUCGGGCUCUACGAGCUUGAGUGGCGCAGCUAACGCAUUAAGUUAUCCGCCUGGGGAGUACGGUCGCAAGAUUAAAACUCAAAGGAAUUGACGG